rnacentral:ncRNA from 1 species
AGCAUAACAGAAAGUGUUGAAGUAUAGCUGUUAAUUUGGUUGCCUAGGCUAUAUGGAGCUAGUGGCGAAACCUCUCUGAAUUUAU